UGUCAUGAUAGCUUUGAUCUCCAAUAGCCCCUCAAGCUGAAGGGUAAAUGUUAAUGACUCCAACUUGAUAAUUUGAUUUGAUAACAGUGUCAUGGAUCGAAAUCUCGAUCCUCAUGUGAUUAAAUUUUCUCAACCACUUGAUUAUUUUCCUGGUCAGAAAUUUUGACCAUAUUCCCAUGGUUUUACAUUGUUGGAGGAUUCUUUGAGUAUGAAAAAGAACUCAAGAAAUUAC
rnacentral:lncRNA from 1 species